CUGCCAACAGUGUCACCUGUCAUUGCAGAUCAAACAAAAAUAUACUUCAAUUGAAGCAGUGGUCUGGGGAUAUUACGUUACAAAACCGAAGCAAGUUGAGGAAGCCAAAUACCUCAUUGCCGUUCAUCUUCCCAGUGAAAAUUCUGUAUAGUGCCUGAAAUGGCAGAGUGGAGGCUAUGUCCAUGGGGAACCACAGGCUUGUAAGCUAUCUUCUUGUGAUCAUCAACGAGGAGAUAGGUGGACUUAUCCAAGUAAGCCACGAAGAAGGUCAAGAGGAUAUCAAGG